rnacentral:lncRNA from 1 species
UCCACUGUGUCUCUACCUGCCGGAAAUUGUGUCAGCUGGCGGAAGAGCUCCAAGCGACCAAAAUUUUGCCAAUAUUUUUGCAGAAACUCCCCUUCCCCUCCUCUUUCCAACCCCCAACUUAGUUUUUCUCGAAUCCCAUCCAAUCGGUUUGAAUCUCCGAUCGAACGUUUCCGGGCAAAAUUCCACCAUUCCCAAAUUCCACCAAAUUAACACCAUAGACUCUCCUUAACUCUCUCAUACCAAGUACCCAAGCCAUAUUCUUCAAAUCUCAUCGGAAUUGUUCGAAUAUUAAAUCAAUGUUUUCCGGAGAAAACCUAAGUUCUCUAAAUAUUAUCAAAUUGGUAAUCCAUGAUCUCCCCAUCCUCCUCAUGUAGAAUCCAUCAGUGGCAAGGGUCAUACAUCAUCAAAAUUGGUCGAUUUUAUUUAAAAAAAAAUAUGUUGAGCCGUGCCAGUGAGUUUUCCUUCUCAAUUUUAUUAUUCUUGUUUUUUAAUUUUGUUUAUUAUUAGUUGGGUUCACGCUAUUAAUUAUGUUACUUUUAAUUUCUAUAUGAUUCUGAUUUUGUUUUAGUCUGGUUCAAUCCUAAUCUAAUUGUUGUUCUAUUAGAAUAAGUGUCUGGGCUAAUUCAUGAUUUUAGUAAUUAUUUUCUGCAUUGUUAUCAUAAUUGUUUCAAUUUCUUAUUAAAUUGUUUCUUACUGAUUUUUCUCUAGUUCAGUAUCGUUUUGAUUGUGAUUGGUGGUUUGUGUUGGUUUUUAGCAUAGUGUUAUGUUGAUUAUUGUUUGUUAAUUGAUAGAAUAAUAAGAGUUUGGAUAGUGAUUACAUUGUUACUGCUACAAUUCAUAUUUUUGUUAGUUAAUCAUGGAUUAAUCAGGGUUGGGAGUAUGUUAGUGAUUUGAGGAAUAAAGCAGGGGUGAUUAGGAUAAUUCAAGGGUAGAGGAUCUUUUAAUAAUGAACUAGAAUUCUCUGGAAUCCUAUAGAGUGGGUUGAAAUUGGAAUCUUAGGAAAACAUAGUGGGCUUACUUGUGUAAAAAGUUUAAAAAUAAAGGAUCAAGGCUGAAAAUGAUAAGGACUAACAAAGAAAAAUUGAAAUUCUGAUAGGCCUUACUUGUGCCUAUAAAAGGGCAUGAUCUUUACUUCAUUCACAAGUUUUUCAACUUCACCGUUCCCCCCAGAAACACUUCCCUUCAGAUCUAGUUUAGAUUUUGAAUUUCAAAUUACUAGUAAUUUAUAAUUCUCUUUAGAUCUGAAAUUUUCGAGUGGGUUUUGGUAGUAUCAAGCUAGAAUUUGGCUGUUUUCACUGGUUUUUUCUUCUAUUAUUCAUUGCUAGUAGCUGUGGUAUUUUGAGUUAUAAUUUGGAUAAGUUCUCUGGAUUUCAACUAUUGCUCGACUGUUUUUCCCUGGUGACUUCUUCUUUUCUUAUUUCAUUUCAAAUCCAAGUAUAUCUCAUGCUCAAAUGAUGUUGAAGAGUACCCUUACCUGUAGAAAACUAGUUUGAAGUAUGAAUGAAAAAGAAAUGCAUGUUUAUAUCUGAAUUUUCACUUUUAUUUGCCUAGUUUUAAACUCCGUGUGAUGAUUCAUUUGAGCCAGAGUUUCAGUUGUAUUAAUGAACAAACAUGUAUUAAUGUUAUAUAGGACUGUUCAUAUUGAUUAG